UACAGAGGUGGCGAGCGUUGUUCGGAUUUACUGGGCGUAAAGGAUGCGUAGGCGGUUUUGCGUGUCGGGUGUGAAAGCCCUGGGCUCAACCCAGGAAGUGCAUUCGAAACUGCAGGACUAGAGUAUGGGAGAGGAGAGCGGAAUUCCUGGUGUAGCGGUGAAAUGCGUAGAUAUCAGGAGGAACACCGGUGGCGAAGGCGGCUCUCUAGCAUAAUACUGACGCUGAGGCAUGAAAGCUGGGGGAGCAAACAGG
rnacentral:rRNA from 1 species